rnacentral:tRNA from 1 species
GCCACCGUGGCGGAAUGGCAGACGCCGCGGACUUAAAAUCCGUUGCCGGGCAACCGGCGUGGGGGUUCGAGUCCCCCCGGUGGCA